GAAGCCAAGCUCGGACUGUGAGCACACAGCAGUGUCUGUUAAAUACAGACCAUAUUGAUUAACCAGUGCCAGAUAUCGAUGCUUACAGGUGACUCACAGCACUGUUGAACUGGUAGGGUGAUCCAGGUUGUUCAGCAGCAUUAUCCUUCCACCUGCACUAUGGGAAUAACCUGGACGUCUACCAUGCUGAUAUUUGAGACGUCGUCAUUCUGGCUGACAAAGAAGACACGGUAAAAGGAGGCUGGCUAACACUGGUAGAGGCUACUCGUUUUACCUUUAGGGUCAGAAACUGUACCACAGACUGAGGGAACACUUAAAUCAAACCCUACUCUGAUGGGAAAAAGGAGACAUUAAAGUGCUCCGGUUCAAGAUGAGACCAAUUUUUUCUACGAAUGUCAGUUUUUGAGCCAUGACAAAGGUCAAAAUGUGGUCAGCAACAGACUAGAGACCUGGGGCUGAUGAACCUGUUGGUUUGCAAACAAGGCCGACCGACAGGCUUUGUGCCAGCAACCCGCAGUGAUUCGGUAUGACGUCAAACAGGUUCAGGGUUUUGGCACAAACCGCCAAAGCAUCACACAGAGAAAAAAAACGGCAGAAUAACAGUUAGGAGACACAUCGCUCACAGCAGAGACGGAAAUGAAGAGAUCACUGACCCCCCCCCCCCCCCCCCCCCCCCCCCCCUUCUGUCUCCCAAAAGCCUGGUGGGCGCUGCAUGUUGAUAGGUAGGAGGAUUUCUGCAUACACACAUGCACAAAACACACUCGGAGCCCAACAGAGACUACAUCUGCUCAACUCUGCAUCUGACGACACAAGAAUCCACAGAACAUUGCGCAUGUAAUGAGACGAAUGCAAAAUUAAAUCCUCCCACACCUUAA